GACGAACGCUGGCGGCGUGCUUAACACAUGCAAGUCGAACGGAAAGGCCCUGCUUUUGUGGGGUGCUCGAGUGGCGAACGGGUGAGUAACACGUGAGUAACCUGCCCUUGACUUUGGGAUAACUUCAGGAAACUGGGGCUAAUACCGGAUAGGAGCUCCUGCUGCAUGGUGGGGGUUGGAAAGUUUCGGCGGUUGGGGAUGGACUCGCGGCUUAUCAGCUUGUUGGUGGGGUAGUGGCUUACCAAGGCUUUGACGGGUAGCCGGCCUGAGAGGGUGACCGGCCACAUUGGGACUGAGAUACGGCCCAGACGCCUACGGGAGGCAGCAGUGGGGAAUAUUGCACAAUGGGCGGAAGCCUGAUGCAGCAACGCCGCGUGCGGGAUGACGGCCUUCGGGUUGUAAACCACUUUCGCCUGUGACGAAGCGUGAGUGACGGUAAUGGGUAAAGAAGCACCGGCUAACUACGUG
rnacentral:rRNA from 1 species